rnacentral:lncRNA from 1 species
GCUAUGGACCCACUGUCCAAAUUCAAUAUGGCGGCUUAUUUCAAGAUGGCUGCCGUACGUUCUAAAAUAUUUUCCAGUAUUGUACAAACCACAGUGGAUUUGAUGCUGAAAGCCCAAAAAUCAACAUAUUUUAAUGACUUGGUGUACUUAGCAAGAUUUUGUUUUGAUCUAUCUUUGAAAUACAAAAUGGCGGCAAUUUUCAAAAUGGGCGCCUUGAAAAAUAUGCAAAUAUUCAUUAUUGAGAAUUGACCUGAAUAUAAGCAUUGUAUUGAUGUAUAGUGUCAUUUAGCAUCUGUCUCAGUUCUGUCCUUUUUUAUUUUGCUUGGCUUGUCCUUUCAUACACAAAGUAGUAG